rfam:Danio rerio chromosome 14, GRCz11 reference primary assembly.
AAACACUUUCAUUUCACUCUGCUGCCCAAGACUGGUUACUCACUGAAGCUAAGCAGGGCUGAGCCUGGUAAGUACUUUAAUGGGAGACCACAUGGGAAAACUAGGUUGCUGUUGG